rnacentral:tRNA from 1 species
GCCACGGUCGCAUAAUCCGGUAUUGCGCUAGACUUGAAAUCUAGUUCCACAUGGAAUUCUCGGUUCAAAUCCGAGCCGUGGCG